rnacentral:piRNA from 1 species
AAAGCUUAAUUUUGUGCAUGGUGAUGU